UACGAAGGGGACUAGCGUUGUUCGGAAUCACUGGGCGUAAAGCGCACGUAGGCGGAUUGUUAAGUCAGAGGUGAAAUCCCGGAGCUCAACUUCGGAACUGCCUUUGAUACUGGCAAUCUAGAGUCCGGAAGAGGUUAGUGGAAUUCCCAGUGUAGAGGUGAAAUUCGUAGAUAUUCGCAAGAACACCAGUGGCGAAGGCGGCUCACUGGCCCAUAACUGACGCUGAGGCACGAAAGCGUGGGGAGCAAACAGG
rnacentral:rRNA from 1 species